rnacentral:rRNA from 1 species
CAGCUUGUUGGUGGGGUAAUGGCCUACCAAGGCGACAAUCCGUAGCUGGUCUGAGAGGACGACCAGCCACACCGGAACUGAGACACGGUCCGGACUCCUACGGGAGGCAGCAGUGGGGAAUAUUGGACAAUGGGGGAAACCCUGAUCCAGCGACGCCGCGUGUGUGAAGAAGGCCUGCGGGUUGUAAAGCACUUUUAGUGGGGACAAAAAGCUACGGAUUAAUACUCUGUGGUCUUGAUUUAACCCAAAGAAAAAGCACCGGCUAACUCUGUGCCAGCAGCCGCGGUAAUACAGAGGGUGCGAGCGUUAAUCGGAAUUACUGGGCGUAAAGCGCGCGUAGACGGUUUUGUAAGUCAGAUGUGAAAUCCCUGGGCUCAACCUGGGAACUGCAUUUGAGACUGCAUGGCUAGAGUAUGGAAGAGGGAAGUGGAAUUUCCGGUGUAGCGGUGAAAUGCGUAGAUAUCGGAAGGAACACCAGUGGCGAAAGCGACUUCCUGGUCCAAUACUGACGUUCAUGUG